rnacentral:rRNA from 1 species
CCACCUGGGGAGUACGACCGCAAGGUUGAAACUCAAAGGAAUUGACGGGGGCCCGCACAAGCGGAGGAACAUGUGGUUUAAUUCGAUGAUACGCGAGGAACCUUACCCGGGCUCGAACGGCAGAUGAAUUGAGUAGAGAUAUUCAAGUCUUCGGACAUCUGUCGAGGUGCUGCAUGGUUGUCGUCAGCUCGUGCUGUGAAGUGUCGGCUUAAGUGCCAUAACGAGCGCAACCCUUGCCGUUAGUUGCCAUCAGGUUAAGCUGGGGACUCUAGCGGGACUGCCACCGCAAGGUGUGAGGAAGGGGGGGAUGACGUCAAAUCAGCACGGCCCUUACGUCCGGGGCGACACACGUGUUACAAUGGUGGGUACAGAGGGAAGCUACCUGGCGACAGGAUGCAGAUCUCGAAAACCCAUCCCAGUUCGGAUUGGAGUCUGCAACCCGACUCCAUGAAGUUGGAUUCGCUAGUAAUCGCGCAUCAGCCAUGGCGCGGUGAAUACGUUCCCGGGCCUUGUACACACCGCCCGUCAAGCCAUGGAAGCCGGGGGUGCCUGAAGUACGUGACCGCGAGGAGCGUCCUAGGGCAAAACUGGUGACUGGGGCUAAGUCGUAACAAGGUAGCCG